UGGGGAAUAUUGGACAAUGGGCGAAAGCCUGAUCCAGCCAUGCCGCGUGUGUGAAGAAGGUCUUCGGAUUGUAAAGCACUUUAAGUUGGGAGGAAGGGCAGUAAGCGAAUACCUUGCUGUUUUGACGUUACCGACAGAAUAAGCACCGGCUAACUCUGUGCCAGCAGCCGCGGUAAUACAGAGGGUGCAAGCGUUAUUCGGAAUUACUGGGCGUAAAGCGCGCGUAGGUGGUUCGUUAAGUUGAAUGUGAAAGCCCCGGGCUCAACCGGGGAACUGCAUCCAAAACUGGCGGGCUAGAGUAGGGCAGAGGGUGGUGGAAUUUCCUGUGUAGCGGUGAAAUGCGUAGAUAUAGGAAGGAACACCAGUGGCGAAGGCGACCACCUGGGCUCAUACUGACACUGAGGUGCGAAAGCGUGGGGAGCAAACCGG
rnacentral:rRNA from 1 species